rnacentral:tRNA from 1 species
ACUUGUAUAGCUUAACUUUAAAGCAUAGCACUGAAAAUGCUAAAAUGUGCCUGAAAACUCUACUAGUG